rnacentral:tRNA from 1 species
GUCUAGAUAGUUUAAAUGGUUAAAACAUUUACCUCAUAUGUAAUUAAUGUAGGUUCAAUCCCUACUUUAGGCA